UUGGGGUUUGAUUCCCCCUGUCUUCGGUCUGGUUGACAGGACCGUGUAAAACAAUUAAUACUCAAAGACGAUUAGAUACCGUCGUAGUCUUAACCAUAAACGAUGCCGACUAGGGAUCGGUGGGCUUCAUUUUGAACCCAUCGGCACCUUAUGAGAAAUCAAAGUGUUUGGGUUCCGGGGGGAGUAUGGUCGCAAGGCUGAAACUUAAAGGAAUUGACGGAAGGGCACCACCAGGAGUGGAGCCUGCGGCUUAAUUUGACUCAACACGGGGAAACUCACCAGGUCCAGACAUAGUAAGGAUUGACAGAUUGAGAGCUCUUUCUUGAUUCUAUGGGUGGUGGUGCAUGGCCGUUCUUAGUUGGUGGAGUGAUUUGUCUGGUUAAUUCCGAUAACGAACGAGACCUUAACCUGCUAAAUAGUUUCAUGAACUUUGGUUCAUUGUAACUUCUUAGAGGGACUAUCUGUGUUUAACAGAUGGAAGUUUGAGGCAAUAACAGGUCUGUGAUGCCCUUAGAUGUUCUGGGCUGCACGAGCACUACACUGAUGAAACCAGCGGGUUUAUAACCUUGCCGAAAGGUCUGGGUAAUCUUGUGAAAUUUCAUCGUGCUGGGGAUAGACCAUUGUAAUUAUUGGUCUUCAACGAGGAAUUCCUAGUAAGCGCGAGUCAUCAGCUCGCGUUGAUUACGUCCCUGCCCUUUGUACACACCGCCCGUCGCUACUACCGAUUGAAUGGCUUAGUGAGGCCUUCGAAUUGGUGUUCACCGGCCGCAAGGUUGGAUGACGCUGAGAAGUUGGUCAAACUUGGUCAUUUAGAGGAAGUAAAAGUCGUAACAAGGUUUCCGGAGGUGAACCUGCCGGAGGGA
rnacentral:ncRNA from 1 species